rnacentral:rRNA from 1 species
AUGUGCAUUGAACCUUUGACAACAAGAGAAGAAGUGAAAAAAAAUUGCAAUGAGGUACUUUCUUUGGCUGAGAAUUGUAACUGUAACUAUGAAAGAAAUUCUGACAGUGAAGAUUCUAAUGAAGAUUCAGUAGCUUGUGCUGGUAGUGAAGAUUAUGUGUUCCCUACACCAGAAGAAGCGGAUAGUGCUAGUAGACCAGAAGUUGGUAUGGUCUUCUCAACAUUGGAUGAAUCGCUCCGGUUUGCAAAUGUAUAUGCUCAGUUGAAUGGUUUCGCAUUGAUAAAAGGGAGGAAUUACAAGAAUAGGAAAUUGUAUUUCCAGUGCAACAAAAGUAGGAAAAGACCAAGUGCUAACAGUGGUUUGAGGAAAAGGAAAAGAAACAUCAUUGAAGGCACAAAUUGUCCGAUGAAUAUUAUAGUUAAGUUGGUGGAUGACAAGUGGCACAUUGCAUCAGUUUCUCUUGAGCAUAACCAUGAUCUAGUGAGCUCUCCAUCACUUACAAAAUUUUUCUUAAGCCACAGAAAUAUGAAUGAGGCAGAGAUAAUGUUGUCCAAGUUGCUUCAAGAACACAGAGUGAAACCUAGAAGAAGCAUGAUUAUAUUCUGA